GAUCAUGGCUCAGGAUGAACGCUGGCGGCGUGCCUAACACAUGCAAGUCGAACGAAGCACUUUCGAUCGGAGAUUCGUCAAGAUGGAUUGACUAGUGGCGGACGGGUGAGUAAUGUAUGAGCAACCUGCCUUUCAGAGGGGGACAACAGUUGGAAACGACUGCUAAUACCGCAUAAUGUAUUUUGAGGGCAUCCUCGGGAUACCAAAGGAGCAAUCCGCUGAAAGAGUGGGCUCAUAUCUGAUUAGUUAGUUGGCAGGGUAACGGCCCACCAAGUCGACGAUCGGUAGCCGACCUGAGGAGGGUGAUCGGCCACAGUUGGGACUGAGACACCGGACCCAACCUCCGUACGGGAGGCAGCAGGUGGGGAAUAGUUGGGCAAGUACGGGGGAAACCCUGACCCAGCAACGCCGCGUGAGGGAAGUAAGGUUUCGGAUCGUAAACCUCUGUCCUUGGUGAAGAGUAAGAGACGGUAGCCAAGGAGGAAGCCCCGGCUAACUACGUGCCAGCCGCUGC
rnacentral:rRNA from 1 species